AGAGUUUGAUCAUGGCUCAGAACGAACGCUGGCGGCGUGUUUAAGACAUGCAAGUCGCACGGGGGGGAUGAGUAGCAAUACGAGUUCCUUCAGUGGCGCACGGGCGAGUAACACGUGAAUUACAUGCCCUUCAGUGGGGGAUAGCCCAGGGAAACUUGGAUUAAUACCCCAUGGUAUCGCAAGAUUAAAGGCGGCCGCAAGGCUGUCGCUGAAGGAUUGGUUCGCGCCCUAUCAGCUUGUUGGUGAGGUAACGGCUCACCAAGGCUACGACGGGUAACCGGUCUGAGAGGACGAUCGGUCACACUGGAACUGAGACACGGUCCAGACACCUACGGGUGGCAGCAGUCGAGAAUAAUUCACAAUGGGGGCAACCCUGAUGGUGCAACGCCGCGUGGAGGAUGAAGGUCUUCGGAUUGUAAACUCCUGUCAUCGGGGAGUAAGACCUGGCUGUGAAUAGCAGACAGGGUUGAUAGUACCCGAAGAGGAAGGGACGGCUAACUUCGUGCCAGCAGCCGCGGUAAUACGAAGGUCCCAAGCGUUGUUCGGAAUCACUGGGCGUAAAGGGAGCGUAGGCGGCGUGGUAAGUCAGAUGUGAAAUCCCGGGGCUCAACCUCGGAACUGCAUCCGAUACUGCCAUGCUAGAGGAUUGGAGAGGUAGCUGGAAUUCUUGGUGUAGCAGUGAAAUGCGUAGAGAUCAAGAGGAACACUCGUGGCGAAAGCGAGCUACUGGACAAUAACUGACGCUGAGGCUCGAAGGCUAGGGUAGCGAAAGGGAUUAGAUACCCCUGUAGUCCUAGCAGUAAACGGUGUGCGCUUGGUGUGAGGGGAUUCGACCCCCCUUGUGCCGGAGCUAACGCGUUAAGCGCACCGCCU
rnacentral:rRNA from 1 species